rnacentral:rRNA from 1 species
CCUGUUUAUCAAAAACAUCGCCUUUGGGGUUUAUAAAAGGUAUAACCUGCCCACUGAUUGUUUAAAGGGCCGCAGUAUUUUGACUGUGCAAAGGUAGCAUAAUCAUUAGUCUCUUAAUUAGAGGCUGGCAUGAAUGGUUGGAUGAGGUACUAACUGUCUCUUUCGGAAAAAUGUAGAAUUUAACUUUUUAGUCAAAAGGCUAAAAUAGAUUUAGAGGACGAGAAGACCCUAUAGAGCUUUAUAUUAAUUGGGGGGUGGGGGUAGAGGAAGCGUUCUGUUACUUAUUUAGUAUUUUGUUGGGGUGACAAAGAAAUAAUUAAACUUUCUUUUUUAAGAACAAUGAUUAUUGGCUAAAGGAUCCGUGCUGAACGAUUGUAAGACUAAGUUACCUUAGGGAUAACAGCAUAAUCUUCUUUGAGAGUUCUAAUCGACAAGAAGGGUUGUGACCUCGAUGUUGGAUUAAGAUUAAUUUAAAAUGUAGCCGUUUUAAAGUUGGGUCUGUUCGACCCUUAGAUUCUUACAU